rnacentral:rRNA from 1 species
AACGAACGCUGGCGGCAGGCUUAACACAUGCAAGUCGAGCGCCCCGCAAGGGGAGCGGCAGACGGGUGAGUAACGCGUGGGAACCUACCCAUCCCUACGGAACAACUCCGGGAAACUGGAGCUAAUACCGUAUACGCCCUACGGGGGAAAGAUUUAUCGGGGAUGGAUGAGCCCGCGUUGGAUUAGCUAGUUGGUGGGGUAAAGGCCUACCAAGGCGACGAUCCAUAGCUGGUCUGAGAGGAUGAUCAGCCACAUUGGGACUGAGACACGGCCCAAACUCCUACGGGAGGCAGCAGUGGGGAAUAUUGGACAAUGGGCGCAAGCCUGAUCCAGCCAUGCCGUGUGAGUGAUGAAGGCCUUAGGGUUGUAAAGCUCUUUCACCGAUGAAGAUAAUGACGGUAGUCGGAGAAGAAGCCCCGGCUAACUUCGUGCCAGCAGCCGCCGUAAGAC